CCGCCAUGCGCGGGCUUCAUUCCUUAAAUCACCACUCGAUACGGAGGCCCGGACGCUUCUUGCAUGGCCGGGGAUUUACGGCGGCGUUGCCCCGGCUCCAUGAGCAACCGUUAUGCAGCUACUUCAAACCGCUGCGGCAGACGACGCAGGUGCGGGAGGUCAUGCGACCCGCAAACCGCG
rnacentral:ncRNA from 1 species